rnacentral:tRNA from 1 species
GGGAAGUUGGCUCAGUGGUAGAGUGCUUGCUUUGCAUGCAUGAGACCCAGGGUUCGACUCCUCA